rnacentral:rRNA from 1 species
CCUACGGGAGGCAGCAGUGGGGAAUAUUGCGCAAUGGGCGAAAGCCUGACGCAGCGACGCAGCGUGAGGGAUGAAGGUCUUCGGAUCGUAAACCUCUGUCAGCAGGGAAGAACGGUCACUGUGCUAAUCAGCAGUGAAUUGACGGUACCUGCAAAGGAAGCACCGGCUAACUCCGUGCCAGCAGCCGCGGUAAUACGGCGGGGGCGAGCGUUAAUCGGAAUUACUGGGCGUAAAGGGCUCGUAGGCGGUAUGUCAAGUCAAGGGUGAAAUCCCCGCGCUCAACGGGGGAACUGCCUUUGAUACUGGCAAACUGGAGUGUGUGAGAGGAUAGUGGAAUUCCAGGUGUAGGAGUGAAAUCCGUAGAUAUCUGGAGGAACAUCAGUGGCGAAGGCGACUAUCUGGAACAUAACUGACGCUGAGGAGCGAAAGCGUGGGUAGCAAACAGGAUUAGAUACCCUUGUAGUC